GGUCAACAUUUUUUCUAUUUCUUAUGAUCAUGAGCGAAUAAUUAUUUCUACUAAUCAACAAGAACAGAAGCAUGCAUGCAAUCUGACAGGUGAUAAGAAGCCAGUAAGUGAAUGAUUUGCAUAAGCCAGGACACGAGACAUACGAUCGAUUGUAGAGAGAAAGAUAAAUAUAACGACAUCAACAACACCAAAAGACAUGAUUAAGCAUAUAUCGACAGGUUGUAGUAAGAGUUACAUCCUUAUAAUUUAUACCAAGCAAAGGCUGGUCACAAAAAUACCGCAACAGGGUAGCAACAAAAAGGGCACCGGCUUCUUCCAGAAAGCAUCUUAAUUGUGGCAUCGUUUGAUGCCACAACUGUUUGGACAUUGCUGGAUCAAAUCUACGGUCAACAAAGUUCAG
rnacentral:lncRNA from 1 species